GGCAGCUUCGGCAGCACAUAUACUAAAAUUGGAAUGAUACAGAGAAGAUUAGCAUGGCCCCUGCUCAAGGAUGACAUGCAAAUUCGUGAAGCGUUCCAUAUUAAA
rnacentral:snRNA from 1 species